GGUGUUGUAGCUCAGUGGUAGAGCGCUUGCCUCACAUGCAUGAGGCCUUGGGUUCAAUCCUCAGCACCACAU
rnacentral:tRNA from 1 species